rnacentral:rRNA from 1 species
AUUGAACGCUAGCGGGAUGCCUUACACAUGCAAGUCGAACGGAGUGGCGAACGGGUGCGUAAUGUAUCGGAACGUGCCCAGAAGCGGGGGAUACCUACGCGAAAGCGUAGCUAAUACCGCCUACUAUUGGCGCGGCCGAUAUCGGAUGAGCCAGUUGGUGGGGUAACGGCUCACCAAGGGGACGUUCAGUAGCUGGUUUGAGAGGACGACCAGCCACAAUGUGACUGAGACACGGACCAGACUCCUACGGGAGGAAGCAGUGGGUAAUGUUGGACAAUGGGGAAAACCCUGAUCCAGCCAUCCCGCGUGUGCGAUGAAGGCCUUCGGGUUGUAAAGCACUUUUGGCAGGAAAGCGGUACCUGCAGAAUAAGCACCGGCUAACUACGUGCCAGCAGCCGCGGUAAUAC